rnacentral:rRNA from 1 species
CCUACGGGAGGCAGCAGUGAGGAAUAUUGGUCAAUGGGCGAGAGCCUGAACCAGCCAAGUCGCGUGAAGGAUGACGGCCCUAUGGAUUGUAAACCUCUUUUGUAAGGGAAUAAAACGCUUUACGUGUAGCGCUUCGAAUGUACCCUAUGAAUAAGCAUCGGCUAACUCCGUGCCAGCAGCCGCGGUAAUACGGAGGGUCCGAGCGUUAUCCGGAUUUAUUGGGUUUAAAGGGUGCGUAGGCGGCAUGUUAAGUGUGCUGUGAAAUGUCGGGGCUCAACCCGGGCAUAGCAGUUGAAACUGGCAGGCUAGAGUCCGAGAGAGGUAUGCGGAAUUCGUGGUGUAGCGGUGAAAUGCAUAGAUAUCACGAAGAAAUCCGAUUGCGAAGGCAGCAUGCUGGA